rnacentral:pre_miRNA from 1 species
AUCACCUAGGUAUUUUGUUAAAAUGCAGAUUCUGAUUCAGCAGAUCUGGGGUUCCACCUGAGAAUCUGCAUUUCUAACAAGCUCUCAAGUGGCUGG